rnacentral:misc_RNA from 1 species
CUCUUGUUUUAUUGCGUAAAUAAG